AAAUAAUUGAGGAGUCCUACAAUAGAACGAAACGGCCGUCCAGUGU
rfam:Schistosoma mansoni strain Puerto Rico chromosome 3, complete genome